rnacentral:rRNA from 1 species
GACGAACACUGGCGGCGUGCCUAAUACAUGCAAGUCGACCUUAGUGGCGCACGGGUGAGUAACACGUUGGUAACCUGCCCAUCAGAAGGGGAUAAAAAUUGGAAACAGGUGCUAAUACCGUAUACUGAUGUAUGGACACGCGGUGCAUUAACUAGUUGGUGAGGUAACGGCUCACCAAGGCCACGAUGCAUAGCCGACCUGAGAGGGUGAUCGUCCACAUUGGGACUGAGACACGGCCCAAACUCCUACGGGAGGCAGCAGUAGGGAAGCUUCGGCAAUGGACGAAAGUCUGACCGAGCAACGCCGAGUGAGUGAAGAAGGUUUGCGGAUCGUAAACCUCUGUUGUUAGAGAAGCGGUAUCUAACCAGAAAGCCACGGCUAACUACGUGCCAGCAGCCGCGGUAAUAC